CCUACUGGAGGCAUCAUUGGGGCAUCUUGCACAAUGGGGGAAACCCUGAUGCAGCGACGCCGCGUGAGCUCUUCCUUCUUUCGGUAUGUCCCUCUCUCUCCGCCGUUCCGCCCCUGCCGGUCCCUGCCUACGAAGCCCCGGCUACCUACGUGCCAGCAGCCGCGGUAAUACGUAGGGGGCCCGCGUUCUCCGGCUGUCCUGGGGGUACCGGGCGCGUAGACGGCGGGGCCCGCCAGAUGUGCAAUGCUGGGGCUCAACCCCAGGACUGCAUUUGGCACUGUCCUGCUAGAGUGUCGGAGAGGCAGGCGGAAUUCCUAGUGUAGCGGUGAAAUGCGUAGAUAUUAGGAGGAACACCAGUGGCGAAGGCGGCCUGCUGGACGAUGACUGACGUUGAGGCUCGAAAGCGUGGGGAGCAAACAGGAUUAGAGACCCGAGUAGUC
rnacentral:rRNA from 1 species